rnacentral:rRNA from 1 species
UACGUAGGGGGCGAGCGUUGUCCGGAUUUAUUGGGCGUAAAGAGCGUGUAGGCGGCCAGGUAGGUCUGCUGUGAAAACUCGAGGCUCAACCUCGAGACGUCGGCGGAAACCAUCUGGCUAGAGUCCGGAAGAGGAGAGUGGAAUUCCUGGUGUAGCGGUGAAAUGCGCAGAUAUCAGGAAGAACACCCGUGGCGAAGGCGGCACUCUGGGCUGGAACUGACGCUGAGGAGCGAAAGCGUGGGUAGCAAACAG